ensembl:lncRNA
UCUCAAGAACGACAUUUGUCUUCUGAAGCUGUCGGCUCCUGUGAAUUUCACAGACUACAUUCAGCCGACCUGCUUAGCCUCAGAAAACAGCACUUACAACAAUGAGACCAGCAGCUGGGUCAUUGGUUUGGGUUAUAAUAAUGAUGGUACUUUCACCAAAACCCUGCAGGAGGCCAAAGUACCAAUCGUUGGAAACAAUGAGUGCAAAGGCAUCUUUCAAGGGAGCUAUCCCAAGAUCACAGAGAACAUGAUCUGUGCUGGAGAAAAGGAUUCAUGCUUGUUUACUUAUGGAGCACCACUCAUGACCAAAAGCAGAUCAGUCUGGCUCCAGAGUGGAGUUCUGAGUGUCAGUGCAUGUGGUGCAUUUCCUUCAGUGUUCACUCGUGUGUCCCAGUACCAGAAAUGGAUCAGCGACACAGUUACAGGGACACCACCAGGCUUUGUUACCUUCACCUCCCCAGAUGGUUCAUCACCACCCACGACUGCCCCCAAUGUGUGACGGUGUGUUGCAGUGGCGAAAACCUGAUCCGCCUCAC